rnacentral:snoRNA from 1 species
CACAGGUGAUGAACUUAUCGAUGGGCAGACAAAGACUGUGCUGAUUGUUAUACUCUGAUUUG